CUUCACUUAGGAAAGAAUGAUAAAAGAAAAAUAAGAUAAAGAAAAAGGAAAGAAUCUAGAAGAUUAAUAAAAAGCAAAAGAAAAACCAAAACAGCUCUUUAGAAAGGAAACUAUAAUAUUGGUCAUAAUCAUCACAGAGAAACAAUUACCACUGAUUUAAAUAUAAGCAAAGAGAACAUGUGAAUGAAGUUUAUAGAAGAAAUAUACUCUAAUUAAAGAUGUAAAGAACACAGAAAUGUGUAAAAUAAUCCCACCAGAGAAGAUUGCUCUUAAUGGUAGAAUGUUUUUCCCAUGUGGUUUUAAAACCUGCCUCAAUUGUGACCUGAGACCUCCGUGACUCAUUUGGCCUCCCAACGAAAAACACCAGGAGUACUAAUUACUGUAAAAGGCAAUGUCUUCAGAAAGAAAAGUUGUCUACCUACAGUAACUAAACAGAAACCACCUACCAUCAAAUUUUAUGUUGGCUCAUGAACCACCAAAGAGCAGGAAUGUUCCAUUCCCAUCUAAGAAGACUGCUAUUUAACAACUGGUCUAAAUCACUUUAGAAGGUGUUCUUGAAAUAAAGCAAU